rnacentral:tRNA from 6 species
GCUGAGGUACCGAAGUGGCCAAACGGGGCAGUCUGUAAAACUGCUGGCUCACGCCUUCCCAGGUUCGAAUCCUGGCCUCAGCA